AACCCUCUGAACUGAAACAUCUAAGUAGGAGGAGGAAAAGAAAGAAACAUCGAUUUCCAAAGUAGCGGCGAGCGAAAUGGAAGAAGCCCAAACCGAUAUUGUUACGGCAAUAUCGGGGUUGUAGGACUGCAAUAUUCAAUUAACAAUGAACUGGAAUGGUCUGGAAAGUCCAUCCAUAGAGAGUGAAAGGCUCGUACAGGUAAGUUUGUUAUGCGAAAGCAGUAUCCUGAGUAUGGCGGGACACGAGGAAUCCUGUCAGAAUCAGCCGGGACCACCCGGUAAGGCUAAAUACUCCCAAGAGACCGAUAGUGGACCAGUACUGUGAAGGAAAGGUGAAAAGAACCCCGAACAGGGGAGUGAAAUAGAACCUGAAACCAUACGCUUACAACCGGUCGGAGCAGCUUCGUGCUGUGACGGCGUGCCUAUUGAAUAAUGAGCCUACGAGUUACUAAUCACUAGCGAGGUUAAGUGCAAGGAUGCACGGAGCCGAAGCGAAAGCGAGUCUGAACAGGGCGUUUAGUUAGUGGUUGUAGACGCGAAACCUUGCGAUCUACCCUUGAGCAGGUUGAAGGUUGGGUAAAACCAACUGGAGGACCGAACGAAUAAGCGUUGAAAAGCUUCUCGAUGACUUGAGGGUAGGGGUGAAAGGCUAAUCAAGCUGGGAAAUAGCUCGUACUCCCCGAAAUGCCUUUUGGGGCAGCGUUGUAAUAAAGAGUCUACUGGAGGUAGAGCUACUGAUUGGAUGCGGGGGCUUCACCGCCUACCAAAUCCUGACAAACUCCGAAUGCCAGUAGUAUGAUUUACAGCAGUGAGUGACUGGGUGCUAAUGUCCAGUCGCAAAAGAGGAACAACUCAGACCAGCAACUAAGGUCCCGAAGAAUAUGCUAAGUUGAUCUAACGAUGUUUUGUUGCAGAGACAGCUAGGAUGUUAGCUUGGAAGCAGCUAUUCAUUCAAAGAGUGCGUAACAGCUCACUAGUCGAGCGACAGAGCGUGGAUAAUAAACGGGCAUCAAGCAUAUCACCGAAGUUCUGGGCGCGAGAGCGCGGUAGGGGAGCAUUCCAUUCAGCGUCGAAGCAGUUUCGUGAGGAAUUGUGGAGCGUAUGGAAAAGCAAAUGUAGGCAUGAGUAACGAUAAUGCGGGAGAGUAACCCGCACACCGCAAGACCAAGGUUUCCUGAUCAACGCUAAUCGGAUCAGGGUUAGUCGGGUCCUAAGGGUAAGCCGAACGGCGAUCUCGAUGGAUAAUCGGUUAAUAUUCCGAUACUAACAUAUACCUCGAUGGAGAGACGAAGGAACGUAAGUGCCGCCACCUGACGGAAUAGGUGGUUAAAGGGCGUAGGUAUAGGGGCAGAUUAAGAGUUAGUCCUUGCUGAAACCUGACAGUACAGAGAGCCUACGGGCAAUUUGAUAGAGCACCCAAGUCGACUUCCGAGAAAAUCUUCUAAGUUAUAGUAUAUGUUACCCGUACCGUAAACCGACACAGGUGGUCGAGGAGAGUAUCCUAAGGUGCUCGAGUGAAUCACGGUUAAGGAACUAGGCAAAUUAACCCCGUAACUUCGGGAAAAGGGGUCCCUAUGAAAGUAGGGCGCAGCGAAGAGGUCCAGGCGACUGUUUAUCAAAAACACAGGGCUCUGCAAAUUCGAAAGAAGACGUAUAGGGCCUGACACCUGCCCGGUGCUGGAAGGUUAAGAGGCUAAGGUAGCGAAAUUCCUUGUCGGGUAAGUUCCGACCUGCACGAAUGGUGUAACGAUCUGGACACUGUCUCAACCGUGAGCUCGGUGAAAUUGUAGUCCCGGUGAUGAUGCCGGGUACCCGCAACGGGACGAAAAGACCCCGUGAACCUUUACUAUAGCUUAACGCUGAAUUUGGGUACACAAUGUGUAGGAUAGGC
rnacentral:rRNA from 1 species